UACGAGGGGGGCAAGCGUUGUUCGGAAUUAUUGGGCGUAAAGGGCGCGUAGGCGGUUUGACAAGUCUGAUGUGAAAUCUAUGGGCUCAACUCAUAGUCUGCAUUAGAAACUGUCGGGCUUGAGUAUGGGAGAGGUGAGUGGAAUUUCCGGUGUAGCGGUGAAAUGCGUAGAUAUCGGAAGGAACACCUGUGGCGAAAGCGGCUCACUGGACCAUAACUGACGCUGAGGCGCGAAAGCUAGGGGAGCAAACAGG
rnacentral:rRNA from 1 species